CAGCCGUAAACUAUGCGCGUUAGGUGUACUGGUGACCACGAGUCACCGGGGUGCCGAAGGGAAACCGUGAAACGUGCCGCCUGGGAAGUACGGUCGCAAGGCUGAAACUUAAAGGAAUUGGCGGGGGGAGGCACCACAACGGGUGGGAGCCUGCGGGUUUAAUUUGGACUCAACGCCGGACAACUCACCGGGGACGGACAGCAAUAUGUAGGCCAGGCUGAAGACCUUGCCUGAAUCGCUGAGAGGAGGUGCAUGGCGUAGACGUCU
rnacentral:rRNA from 1 species